GUCGAACGGUGAAGCCCAGCUUGCUGGGUGGAUCAGUGGCGAACGGGUGAGUAACACGUGAGUAACCUGCCCCUGACUCUGGGAUAAGCCUUGGAAACGAGGUCUAAUACCGGAUAUGUGACGUUCAGGCAUCUGAUGCGUCUGGAAAGAUUUAUCGGUCAGGGAUGGACUCGCGGCCUAUCAGCUUGUUGGUGGGGUAACGGCCUACCAAGGCGACGACGGGUAGCCGGCCUGAGAGGGCGACCGGCCACACUGGGACUGAGACACGGCCCAGACUCCUACGGGAGGCAGCAGUGGGGAAUAUUGCACAAUGGGCGCAAGCCUGAUGCAGCGACGCCGCGUGAGGGAUGAAGGCCUUCGGGUUGUAAACCUCUUUCAGCAGGGAAGAAGCGCAAGUGACGGUACCUGCAGAAGAAGCGCCGGCUAACUACGUGCCAGCAGCCGCGGUAAUACGUAGGGCGCAAGCGUUGUCCGGAAUUAUUGGGCGUAAAGAGCUCGUAGGCGGUUUGUCGCGUCUGCUGUGAAAACUCGAGGCUCAACCUCGGGCUUGCAGUGGGUACGGGCAGACUAGAGUGCGGUAGGGGAGACUGGAAUUCCUGGUGUAGCGGUGGAAUGCGCAGAUAUCAGGAGGAACACCGAUGGCGAAGGCAGGUCUCUGGGCCGCAACUGACGCUGAGGAGCGAAAGCAUGGGGAGCGAACAGGAUUAGAUACCCUGGUAGUCCAUGCCGUAAACGUUGGGCACUAGGUGUGGGGCUCAUUCCACGAGUUCCGUGCCGCAGCAAACGCAUUAAGUGCCCCGCCUGGGGAGUACGGCCGCAAGGCUAAAACUCAAAGAAAUUGACGGGGGCCCGCACAAGCGGCGGAGCAUGCGGAUUAAUUCGAUGCAACGCGAAGAACCUUACCAAGGCUUGACAUACACCGGAAACUUCCAGAGAUGGUUGCCCCGCAAGGUC
rnacentral:rRNA from 1 species